UUAAAUAUUAAGCAGAAAAUCAUUCGUCAAUCUUUUUUUUUUUUUUCAAUCAUUUGAUUAUUAUAAAUAGAUACGUAUCAGUUUGAAUAUGUACGUUUAAUACGAGCUUUGUGUGCUUCGGCCCAGAAAAUAACCGUUAGUAUUUAGUCGCGCGUAUGCAUACGAAGGUAUAUCUGAUCUCGCGUAAGAUUUAAGAUUAUUGUCGUGAUACGCUUUCAAAAUUAUUUUCGUUCUUAGAUAUCUAUAUACUAAUGAUAACAUUCAACAGUGUGUUGCAGGUUAUUGGAAAACUCUUUAAAAUCGGAUAUGGACAUAUAUUACGAAUCAAAUUUUGUUCGAGCCAAGAAGUUAUCCUCUUUGGUCGAGGACCACUGAGACUCUUUGAAGUUCUUUUACUUACGACUAUAAAGUUGGAGAAACUUAUUCUCGAUCGGUUAUGACGUAUCUUUAUGGGAUAAGUCGAUGAAACGAGCCUUCCUCCCAAAAUCGGAACCCGAAAGAAAGGAAGGAAGGAAGGAAGGAAGGAAGGAAGGAAGGAAGAAGAAGAGUUGAGUUUCGAGUAUCCACCGAAACGAAAAGGACCGCGAAAGAGAGGCGAUGGCACUUUGCUUUGCGGUGAACGGACGGUGAUCCUCAGCGAAUGUGCUCUCGUCUCUUCGUCGCUGCGGAAGGAACUAAUCAAGCGAACGGAGAUAAGUCUUCCGAUAAUGGAAUCGACUAUGAACACCGGCGGGUUCGAGACUCUUGCCGUUGCUCCCGACGCUUCUGUGGUUUACCAUAGUGAAGUCGUACGGUGUCAGGAUUAGACUGGGCAAUGAGUUACGGAAACGAAUCUAACGUGAUACUCUCCGUUCACGAUCAUUUCCAUAGAAUGAAACGCCGCGCGCCUUUGUCAACGAUCAAUCGGCUGUCAUGCAUCAGAAGUGAUUUGAUUUCGCAUAAACGGAUAUGAAAGCCAGAAGAUUGAAGUAUAGCUCGAACGAUGAAUGGUCCUCUUAAUUUUUCCAAUAAUGGCUCUGCGGUAACAAGGGUCGGCUGUUUAUCAAGACUUCGAUAGAUAGACCACAACUUCUUUCUGCGCGAACAACUUUUGAAAACUGGAUUUCCACAACAGUCGUACCACUUUAGACAGCAACAUGUCUUUCGAAUUGGUUUUGGACAAAGAUAACAAUUUGGUAUAGUUGGACGAUAACAGGGCGCAUAAGUCGAUCUGUAUAACCAGAAAAAAUCGUACACGACUUUUUGUCCAAAUGUAUAAAUUGAAAGGUUAAAGAAAGAAGAAAUGCAUCGAUAAAAACUUUUCGUUUAUAUAUCGAUAUCUAUUCGUUUACCUGUCACACGUGUACGUCAGUUGAAAUUGAACGCUGGACUGUCCGCAAGUUGGUGUCCGACAAGAUGAACACGGUGGACACGGUGGACAAGCUGGAUCAUUACAAGGUUGUUUCUCAAUGCAACGCGAUGAAACGGAAGGUGGAUGUACGACGAGAGCUUCCGCAAAAGUCAAUGCCAUCUUGGUUGAAACGAUUGCUAAGUUAUACAGCAGCGGAAGUUUGCAGCGGAUAAAAGAAAAGAAAGAAAAGACAAGAAAAAAAACAAAAAAAAAAAACAACGAAAGAACAAACGCAAACAUUCAUGCGUCUGUUCCAUUCCGCAUAAUUUUCAUUCGCUAUCGCAAGAAAAUAAUGAUCCAGGAGACGCUGUAUCUUACUUACAUACGUACAAAAAAAAGACGAUUUCGUAAUCACAACAGACAUUAUAUAAUAAACCGUAUCUUUACAGGGGCAGAUACAUUGUAAAGUGAACAAGGAUAUCUUUUACGAAAUAUACACGCAUUAAGUUGUACGUUUGAUCCAGGAAUCGAUCGGCAACAUUAUGUACAAUACAACCACGAAAGAGUGCAUAACGAUAAUCGUCGCCGAAUCAGCAGCCAACGUGGUUGCACUUUCGAAUUUGGCACGCGGUACGUUUACUUUGCCCGUCGAUUUCCAUUUAGAUGUCCCUUUUGCACUGUAUUUUUUCACUUUUCCAAGAGUCGGGACAUCUAAACCGCGCAAUGCUCUCGCUUCCUGGUAUAUUUCAUAAAAAUAAAAUGGGAAAUGAGAGAAGAAAGAAUUUUAACAAAGAAAAAAAAGAUGAAAUACGAGAAAGCCUCCUUUUCUCUCUCUUUCUCUCUUCCUCUCCCCUUUAUCUUUAUCUCUCUGUUUUCUCCUAUUUCUAUCUAACGCACAUUAGAUAUCGUUUUAGAAUUUUCCAGGAAAAACGGAGCUUGCAUUCGACCGGGCGGACUCAUCGGUCCAGUUUUCGACUUCCAACCAGCUUGAAAUACGCGCUCACCCAACGUACGCGCGGAGCGAGGGGUUGAAAAAAGGGGGUAGUAUA